rnacentral:rRNA from 1 species
AGUGAACGCUGGCGGUAGGCCUAACACAUGCAAGUCGAACGGCAGCACAGUAAGAGCUCGCUCCUACGGGUGGCGAGGGGCGGACGGGUGAGGAAUACAUAGGAAUCUACUUUUUCGUGGGGGAUAACGGAGGGAAACUGACGCUAAUACCGAAUACGACCAACGGGAGAAAGCAGGGGAGAUUCGGACCUUGCGCGAUUGAAUGAGCCGACGUCGGAUUAGCUAGUUGGCGGGGUAAGGGCCCACCAAGGCGACGAUCCGUAGCUGGUCUGAGAGGAUGAUCAGCCACACUGGAACUGAGACACGGUCCAGACUCCUACGGGAGGCAGCAGUGGGGAAUAUUGGACAAAGGGCGCAAGCCUGAUCCAGCCAUACCGCGUGGGUGAAGAAGGCCUUCGGGUUGUAAAGCCCUUUUGUUGGGAAAGAAAAGCAGCAUGUUAAUCCCCCGCUGUUCUGACGGUACCCAAAGAAUAAGCCCCGGCUAACUUCGUG